UACGAAGGGGGCUAGCGUUGUUCGGAAUUACUGGGCGUAAAGCGCGCGUAGGCGGUUUUGCAAGCCAGAAGUGAAAUGCCUGAGCUCAACUUAGGAAUUGCCUUUGGGACUGCGAGGCUUUGAGGACUGGAGAGGUGAGUGGAAUUCCCAGUGUAGAGGUGAAAUUCGUAGAUAUUGGGAAGAACACCGGUGGCGAAGGCGGCUCACUGGCCAGUUUCUGACGCUGCAGCGCGAAAGCGUGGGGAUCAAACAGG
rnacentral:rRNA from 1 species